rfam:Ailuropoda melanoleuca scaffold673_90, whole genome shotgun sequence.
GCUUGGCUGGUUCAGUUGGUGGAGCAUGUGACUCUUGAUCUCAGGGUUGUGGGUUUGAGCCCCCAUGUUGGGUG